GAGCACAACGUCAAAAGCAGCCAAUGGGAGCCCAGGAGGCGGGGCGCCUGUGGGAGUCGUGGAGGGAACUUUCCCAGGCCCCGAGGCGGAUCGGGUAUUGAGUCCAUGGAGCGAGCUGAGAGCUAGAGUACAGAACCUGCUAAGGCCAUCAAACCUAUCGAUCGGAAGUCAGUCCAUCAGAUUUGCUCUGGGCCGGUGGUACUGAGUCUAAGCACUGCGGUGAAGGAGUUAGUAGAAAACAGUCUGGAUGCUGGUGCCACCAAUAUUGAUCUAAAGCUUAAGGACUAUGGAGUGGAUCUCAUUGAAGUUUCAGACAAUGGAUGUGGGGUAGAAGAAGAAAACUUUGAAGGCUUAACGAUGUCACCAUUUCUACCUGCCACGCAUCGGCGAAGGUUGGGACUCGACUGGUGUUUGAUCACGAUGGGAAAAUCAUCCAGAAAACCCCCUACCCCCACCCCAGAGGGACCACAGUCAGCGUGAAGCAGUUAUUUUCUACACUACCUGUGCACCAUAAGGAAUUUCAAAGGAAUAUUAAGAAGACGUGCCUGUUUCCCCUUCGCCUUCUGCCGUGAUUGUCAGUUUCCUGAGGCCUCCCCAGCCAUGCUUCCUGUACAGCCUGCAGAACUGUGAUCUCAGCCCUCCUCCAGGCUUCGAUUAUAACUUACAGGAUUGUGAUUCACACAUUUCAGUUUCCACCACAGGCCCCUCCAGACAUGUCCAUCUGCCUGCUGUGUUGACUUUUCCCUUUGGAGUCUUGAGGCAGCUACAAGCUUACUGACCAGAAAUGAACUCAAGCUCUCCCCGAAGCCUGGUCCUCUUCCAGGAUCAGCCAGCCUGGAAGAUGGCACUGUCAUCCACCCUGUUCUCAGGCCUGCCACCCAGGAGUCAACCUUAGCCCCAUCUAAUUGUCAGAGGCAUCUGAACCACAGCAACUCCAUCUUGAGUAGGGGAUGGGUAAAAUGAGGCUGAGACCUGCUGGGCUGCAUUCCCAGACAGCCAAGGCAUUAGCCACAGGAUAAGAUAGGCGGUCGGUACAAGACACAGGUCAUAAAGACCUUGCUGAUAAAACAGUUGGCAGUAAAGAAGCCAGCCAAAACCCACUAAAACCAAGAUGGCAACGAGAGUGACCUCUGGUCGUCCUCACUGCUACCCUCCCACCAGCACCAUGACAGUUUACAAAUGCCAUGGCAAUGUCAGAAAGUUACCCUAUAGGGUCUAAAAAGGGGAGGCAUGAAUAAUCUACCCCUUGUUUAGCAUAUCAUCAAGAAAUAACCAUAAAAAUAGGCAACCAGCAGCCCUCAGGGAUGCUCUGUCUAUGGAGUAGCCAUUCUUUUGUUCCUUUACUCUCUUAAUAAACUUGUUUUCACUUUACUCUA
ensembl:lncRNA PMS2P4 PMS1 homolog 2, mismatch repair system component pseudogene 4